GCACUAUCUCUCAUGAUUAUGUUGCAGGUGGUGCNUGGCCGUUGUUAGUUCGUGGAGUAAUCUGUCUGCUUAAUUGCGUUUCGUACAAGUACUCACUCAAUCCUGGACGUAUCUCAAUUAUAUGUGGCGGUGUCUGUCAUGGAAAGCAGCCUACGUUGUUUCAUACGUGCAGCUGUGUCGCCUCUGAGUUAUUGUCAUUUGGAGAGUACGUGAAUGCAACGAACGUGACCGUAGUGUUUUAGUUUGCAUUUCAAACAAGUGACAUUCAUUUGACACGGUUUGUAUUCCGGCUACNUAUCAUCCCAGUGCAUAACCAUAACCAUUGCAACUAUACAUACCACUGCUUUCUUUUCUCUAACC
rnacentral:rRNA from 1 species